CUCCUGUUCUUUGCUCCAUGAGAAAGAUCCACCUAUCACCUCAGGUCCUCAGACCGACCAGCCCAAGGAACAUCUCACCAAUUUUAAAUCAGAUUUUCUCGUCUUAGCGGCUGAAGACUGACACUGCCUGAUCACCUCGGAAGCCCCCUAGACCAUCACGGACGCCAAGCUUCGGGUAACUCUCACAGUGGAAGACGCGCAUGAAAGAAAAGAAAGAGAGAAAGUGAAAGAAAGAGAGGAAGGAAGGAUGGAAGGAAGGAAGGACUAUCUCUAUUUCUGGCCUUGAUUGCUCAAGAUGGCAGAAACUAGGACAGCUGACAACUCCUGGACUUACAUUCUCAUGGAUUCAUCAACCAGAUAAAGAUCUUUCUUUGGGGGUCAAAUUUGAAAAAUCUGGAGAAGGACUUCAACUGGCUCCACUUGAGUCAUGUGGCUAUCUCUGGAUGGACCACUGUAAGGGU